rnacentral:rRNA from 1 species
CCUACGGGGAGCAGCAGUGGGGGAUAUUGCACAAUGGGGGAAACCCUGAUGCAGCGACGCCGCGUGUGGGAAGACGGUCCUCUGGAUUGUAAACCACUGUCCCCAGGGACGAAGAUGACGGUACCUGGGGACGAUGCUCCGGCUAACUACGCGCCAGCAGCCGCGGCAAUACGCAGGGAGCGAGCGUUGUCCGGAUUUACGGGGGGAACAGGGAGCGUAGGCGGGAGUGAAAGUUGGGUGUCAAAUCUACCGGCUCAACCGGUAGCCGCACUCAAAACUGCAGUUCUGGAGUGAGGUAGAGGCAGGCGGAAUUCCUGGUGUAGGGGUGAAAUGCGUAGAUAUCGGGAGGAACAUUCGUGGCGAAGGCGAGUUCCUGGACAUUAACUGACGCUGAGGCACGAAGGCCAGGGGAGCGAAAGGGAUUAGAUACCCGGGUAGUC